rnacentral:rRNA from 1 species
UACAGAGGGUGCAAGCGUUGCUCGGAAUCAUUGGGCGUAAAGGGCAAGUAGGUGGUCUUGUUUGUCUGGGGUGAAAUCCUUGAGCUUAACUCAAGAAGUGCCCUAGAAACGGCAAGACUCGAGUCCUGGAGAGGGUGGUGGAAUUCCCGGUGUAGCGGUGAAAUGCGUAGAGAUCGGGAGGAACACCUGUGGCGAAGGCGGCCCCCUGGGCCGGCCCUGACACUGAGACGCGAAGGCGUGGGGAGCGAACGGG